rnacentral:miRNA from 1 species
CACCACCAACCGGAAGGAAUCCCUCCCGGUCAAUGAGGGCUGUUACACCUCAUUGAUUGGAAGAAUCCCUUCUGUUCAAUGAGGUGUAACAGCCUCAUCAACCGGAAGGGAUUCCUUCCAGUUGCUGAGGUG